UCACAAUAAAAAUAUUUAAUUAUCUUUUUUUUGAAUUUAGAUUUUCUUCUUGACUUAUCAUGGUUGUUAAAAUUUUAUGAGUUUUUGAUUUUACUUCUUUUUUAUCUUUCUAUAACCAAUGCCUUUGACUGUAUAGUCACACAAUGUUAUUUUCUUUUGAUUUUCUCAUUAAGCAUACUAUUCUCUAUUAUUUUUAAUGUCACCACAUAAUUAGGAGCU
rnacentral:lncRNA from 1 species